rnacentral:rRNA from 1 species
CACACCGCCCGUCACAUCACGAAAGUGGGCUGUACUAGAAGACGUUGAGCUAACCCGCAAGGGGGGCAGGCGUCCACGGUAUGGUUCAUGAUUGGGGUG